UGGGGAAUUUUGGACAAUGGACGCAAGUCUGAUCCAGCCAUGCCGCGUGCGGGAAGAAGGCCUUCGGGUUGUAAACCGCUUUUUUCAGGGAAGAAACGAGUUUCUCUAAUACAGAGACUUAAUGACGGUACCUGAAGAAUAAGCACCGGCUAACUACGUGCCAGCAGCCGCGGUAAUACGUGGGGUGCGAGCGUUAAUCGGAAUUACUGGGCGUAAAGCGUGCGCAGGCGGUAAUAUAAGACAGGUGUGAAAUCCCCGGGCUCAAACUGGGACCUGCAUUUGUGACUACAUAACUAGAGAACGGCAGAGGGAGGUGGAAUUCCGCGUGUAGCAGUGAAAUGCGUAGAUAUGCGGAGGAACACCGAUGGCGAAGGCAAUCCCCUGGACCUGUACUGACGCUCAUGCACGAAAGCGUGGAGAGCAAACA
rnacentral:rRNA from 1 species